rnacentral:rRNA from 1 species
GUUUACAACCAUAACACCCUGGAAGUGCCUGAUCCCAUCUGAUCUCUGAAGCUAAGCAAAGCCUGGUUAGUACUUGGAUGGGAGAAAAGCUAUGAAUGUUGGGAAAG